CCUACGGGGGGCUGCAGUGGGGAAUAUUGGACAAUGGGGGCAACCCUGAUCCAGCCAUGCCGCGUGUGUGAAGAAGGCCCUCGGGUUGUAAAGCACUUUCAGUGAGGAAGAACGCCUGGUGGUUAAUACCCAUCAGGAAAGACAUCACUCACAGAAGAAGCACCGGCUAACUACGUGCCAGCAGCCGCGGUAAUACGGAGGGUGCGAGCGUUAAUCGGAAUUACUGGGCGUAAAGCGCGCGUAGGUGGCUUGAUAAGCCGGUUGUGAAAGCCCCGGGCUCAACCUGGGAACGGCAUCCGGAACUGUCAAGCUAGAGUGCAGGAGAGGAAGGUAGAAUUCCCGGUGUAGCGGUGAAAUGCGUAGAGAUCGGGAGGAAUACCAGUGGCGAAGGCGGCCUUCUGGACUGACACUGACACUGAGGUGCGAAAGCGUGGGUAGCAAACAGGAUUAGAUACCCUUGUAGUC
rnacentral:rRNA from 1 species